CUAAGAACUAACAUGGUUACUAAGUGACAAAUGGGCAGGGGCAUAUACAACAAGGACACAGCUGGACAAAGGGAUGAUUCAUGUCUUGGGCAGGACAGAAAGGAGUCACCUCGAAAAGCACUAUUCCUAAUAGUGCCACGUGUUUGGGACCAAGCUUUGAACAUAUGGGUUUUUGGGAGACUCUAAACAAUGCCACAUGGAUAACUGAAACCACGGUGAAUGCUUCAAAUACUACAAGUUUGUGCAGAUUUUCUUCAUUUUAUAAAUACCCACCAUCAGAGAAACUAUAGAAGGCAUGUGGGAAGAAAUAGUAAAAGUAAAAGAACCCUUUCUCUAUUACAGAAUCAAGGCUUUUUUGUCAACCCAGAAUUCCAAGCUUGUCGGAGGACUUCACCAAUUCUGAGACAAAGAUGACUCUCCCUUAGAAAGAAGGCACAGGAAGAAACAGAGAUCUUUAUGAGAGAGUGGAAUAUGAGGCUCAUGGGAAUAAAUCAGAGAGAUAAAGGAAGGCAGAAAGGAAGGACUGUGUGAGAGAUGCCAAGAGAGAAAGUAUACAAAUAAAAGCUGGGCCAUGUGACAAUCUGUUGUAAAAUAUUUUG
rnacentral:lncRNA from 1 species